rnacentral:rRNA from 1 species
AUUGAACGCUGGCGGCAUGCCUUACACAUGCAAGUCGAACGGUAACAGGCCUUCGUGUGCUGACGAGUGGUGAACGCGUGCGUAAUGCAUCGGAAUGUAUCCCCUGGCUGGGGAUAACGCAUCGAAUGCUGUGAUAAUACCGCAUGCGAUCUGAUAUUGAAAGCGGGGGAGCUCGCAGGUAUAUUUCGCCUCUCGUCUUUGUAGUAGCUGAUGCCGGAUUAGCUAGUUGGUGGGGUAAAGGCCUACCAAGGCGACGAACCGUAGCUGAUCUGAGAGGGUGACCGGCCACACUGGAACUGAGACACGGCCCAGACUCCUACAGGAGGCAGCAGUAGGGAAUCUUGGACAAUGGGCGCAAGCCUGACCCAGCAAUGCCGCGUGAGGGAUGAAGGACUUCGGGUUGUAAAACGCUGUUGGCAGGGACGAAACAGUGUGUGAUAAUACAGGGAGCUAAUGACGGUACCUGCUGAGAAAGCAACGGCUAACUACGUG